AUUUAUAUCCGCAUUCCAUUGCUGUUGUUUACAUUAGUAACACAGCUCAGUAUGGCAAAGCGGGAGAGUUUGAAGAAACUGAAAAUAAGUUCGUUGAGAAAUUUAGCCACAGAGCACGGAAUCGACAUAUGUAAGAAGAUCUCAUACAAGAAUUACUUUUGUGUCAAACGCCAACUUCUGUUUUGACGCCGAUCAUCCAACAAGCUUCGGCUGAAGGAUCAUUGACCCUACCCUUUCAGGACAGUUUGCCACCUUUUCACGCCGUAACCUAUGACUGUUUGGACCAGAGUUAUAUUCCAACAUUAAACUUUUAGUGAUAUUUACAGUUUUAUCAUUGAAAGACCUACUUCACAUGGUAUUGCUGUGAAAAAUUUCAAGGGCUUAGACAAAUCCAUUAAACACUUCGAAGCUGGUGACGUCCAAGAUAUCAGAGUGUCAAAGGUCAAUUCAUCUAUAAUAUAUGUGAGGGCAACAUGCCAAGCUUCUAUGAAGAAGCAGCAAUAACAAGUGUAUAUCUGCAUGUCAACACCAAACACUGGCAGACCACAUAUACAGCAUGCAUAUUGCCAGUGUCCUAUUGGGUUAGCACAGGCAUGUAGUCACAUAGGUGCCUUACUCUUUGCAUUAAGUCAUGCAAAACCCAACCAGUCCUCGUCAGAAAGCUGUACAUCUCAGCCAUGUAAAUAAAUAAUUCCUGGGUGCCAGGUGAAGCCUUCUGGACCAAUUAGUUCUUUGCCUAAUAAGUGUAAGGGCCAAUUGAAAGAGUCGGAAGAUUUUAUAGAAAAUCGUGAUCCUCUUGCCGCUUAUGACCCUCGGCAUUCAGACGACAGACAUUGGGAUCUUAAUCGCACGCUGCAGCAUUUACAGGAUCUAAAAAAUGUCUUUCCACAAACAGGUAGAUGAUAUGAAAGGAAUGUCACACUUGUGGAAUAUACCUGACCAUGCUCCAGAGGCUGUCCAAGAGAUGGAGGUGCAGGAUGUGGAAGCAGAUAUUAUGUUCGCAAGGAUGAAAAGUCUCAUAUUUUGUGAGGGGAAUGAGCCCCAACUGUCGAUAACCCAGGACUUAGUUGAGUUUAUUGAGAGCUGCACAAGAGACCAGAGAACAUCAGAUAUGUGGCAGAAACUCCAUAUUGGUCGUCUCACCAGUUCUCUUUUUGGUGAUGUCUUAAAAGCUGGAUCCAAUCCGAAUUCUUUGAUCAAGCAAAUUAUGGAGGGUUCCAGUUUUAAUAAGUAUGCAGUUCUACCACCAGCAGUUCAAUGGGGACAAGAAAUGGAGGCCAAGGCACGGUCAGACUAUGUCAUUCUUAAGUCGGCUAUCAACAGUAAUUUCACAGUUGAGGAUACAGGUAUCACUUUAUGUGCAGAACACUCUUUUCUGGGUGCCUCUAGCGAUGGGAAGGUCCAUGAUGGGGAAAGCAUUGGUUUAUUAGAAAUUAAGUGUCCGUAUUCCAUCCAAGGAACUCGUGUUACAAUGAAAGAAGAUGGUGAAAUCAUGGCAAUGGGAUAUUCCAAUUUUUGUCUGGAGGAGAGUAUGGAAGGACCACGUCUCAAGAAGAGCCACAAAUUUUAUGCUCAAGUUCAAGGGGAGAUGGCAAUUAAGGCAUUACCAUGGUGUGACUUCGAAGUUUGGACCAAUGUGGCACAAAACAAUAUUUGUAUUGACAUAGUUUAUUUUGAUUCAAAGUUUGUGUCCUCUAUGAUGCCUCAACUUAUUGCAUUUUAUAUGCAUCACAUUGUCCAUAAAUUGCACAUUUAACUAAUGAAUUAUCUGUUAUUGAUUGGCCAAAAAACAAUGCUGACAAGAAAUCUGAAUUGUUCAUGUAUAUUACAUGUAAUUUAUGUGAAUGUUCAUCUAGAUGAAAUCAUUUAAAUACAUGCACAUGGUUCAAAUGAAAAC
rnacentral:misc_RNA from 1 species